ACCAUUUACCUCCAGCACGAGAAACAAGACUUUUCCCUUUAUAAAAACCUCCCAAACGAAGCUUCAUAGAGUGGAUCUUUCUUUCCCUUCCUUUGUUCCGAGAACGUUUCCCGCUCGGUCAUUAACACAAACACUUUGUCUGCAAUUGUGAAAACUCAUACACAACACAAACACAAAAGCCCCAGAGAGAGAAAGAGAGAGGAUGAAGUAUGUGUUGGUGACAGGGGGAGUGGUGAGUGGGUUGGGCAAAGGCGUCACAGCCAGCAGCAUAGGCGUAGUCCUCAAAGCCUGUGGCCUUCGCAUCACUUCCAUCAAAAUUGAUCCAUACUUGAACACCGAUGCUGGUACCAUGUCUCCCUUUGAACAUGGGGAAGUUUUUGUUCUUGACGAUGGCGGAGAGGUCGAUUUGGACUUGGGUAACUAUGAGCGGUUCCUAGAUGUGACGCUUACAAGAAACAAUAAUAUUACCACGGGAAAGAUAUAUCAGUCUGUCCUUGAGAAGGAACGAAGAGGUGAUUAUCUUGGAAAGACUGUCCAGGUAGUGCCACACAUAACAGAUGCCAUUAAGAAUUCGAUUGAAUCAGUUGCUGUCAUUCCUGUUGAUGGAAAAGAAGGUCCAGCAGAUGUUUGUGUGAUAGAGUUGGGAGGGACUGUAGGUGAUAUUGAAUCAAUGCCAUUCAUCGAGGCUUUGCGACAAUUGUCCUUCUCAGUUGGGCAAGAUAACUUCUGCCUCGUUCAUGUGAGCCUGAUACCAGUACUGGGUGUUGUUGGUGAGCAAAAAACGAAACCUACCCAACAUAGUGUCCGGGAGCUGAGAGCAUUAGGCUUGACGCCUCAUCUGUUAGCAUGUCGCUCUGCUCAGCCUUUAUUGGAAAAUACCAAGGAGAAACUUUCACAGUUUUGCCAUGUUCCAGCUGGUAAUAUUCUCAACAUCCAUGAUGUUCCAAAUAUUUGGCAUGUUCCUCUCUUACUUAGGAACCAAAAUGCUCAUCUCUCAAUUCUAAAGCAGCUAAACUUACUUGAUGAUGCUGCAACUCCUGCUUUACAAGAUUGGACCAGGAUGGCUGAGACUUUUGAUAAUCUCACUGAAUCUGUGAGGAUUGCAUUGGUUGGGAAGUAUGUUGGCCUAUCAGAUUCAUAUUUGUCUGUUGUGAAGGCCCUUCUGCAUGCCUGCAUUGCAUGUUCUCUGAAGCCAUCAAUUGACUGGAUUGCAGCUUCUGACCUUGAAGAUGAUAGUGCUAGAUUGACGCCAGAAGCACACGCUACUGCAUGGGAGACUCUGAGGAAUGCUGCAUGCGUCUUGGUUCCUGGUGGAUUUGGAGAUCGUGGUGUCACAGGUAUGAUAUUGGCUGCAAAGUAUGCCAGAGAGAACAAGGUUCCUUAUCUUGGGAUUUGCUUGGGCAUGCAGAUUUCUGUGAUUGAGUUUGCUAGAUCUGUUUUGGGUUUGGAAAGGGCAAAUAGCAGCGAGUUUGACGAAAAGACACCAAAUCCUGUUGUAAUUUUCAUGCCUGAGGGUUCAAGAACUCAUAUGGGAAACACAAUGAGACUAGGAUCCCGAAAAACGCUAUUCCAGACACCUGAUUGUAUUACUUCAAAAUUGUACCAAAAUUCAGAGUAUGUGGAGGAACGGCAUCGGCACAGAUACGAGGUAAACCCAGAGUUUAUUGAAAUUCUAGAAGAAUCUGGCCUCAAAUUUUUUGGGAGAGAUGAAAGUGGAAAUAGAAUGGAGAUUCUAGAGCUUCCAACUCAUCCGUUCUAUGUAGGAGUGCAAUUUCAUCCAGAAUUCAAAUCACGGCCUGCAAGGCCCUCAGCUCUAUUUUUAGGUCUUAUAUUGGCAGCAACAGGACAGUUGGAAGCAUAUCUUGGCAGGCAUCAGAAUGGAAGUUGAUAUGCUAGUUUUCCCCAUCAUAGUACCUCUUAAAUCUUUCUUUUAAGUAGAUUGCAAAUGGUGGGCCAAAUCCAUGUUUUAGAAGGAGCAGGAAAAUUAUUGAUGCUGUCUAACUGAGCAACGCGCAUAGAUGUUUCCAAAGUGGAUCCGUAGUGAGAUGAUUUCCUGCUGCAUUUUGAAGUUAUGGACAUAAAAUGUUGGUCCAAUCUUUUGGACAUAAAAUUUACAUGUAAGAACAGAUAUACACAAAUUUUGGAUGCACCGUGGCAAUGAUAGUUGCUUGUUGACUCGUGUGUUUUUUUGGUUAAACAAAAAGGGUAGGGGGUGGCCAGUCUUGGAUACCCACUUUAGGCUUUCCCUAGGGUUCAACUCAGAAUGUUCACCCCAACAAAACCACAUGAGAGUAAGCAUUUGUUAUUGGUUCACUCACCCUCUAUGAUUGACAUUCUUGAUUUUUGCCAAUGCUAAACGUUGUAACUUAUGGUUUUA